rnacentral:rRNA from 1 species
UACGGAGGGGGCUAGCGUUGUUCGGAAUUACUGGGCGUAAAGCGCGCGUAGGCGGACCUGCAAGUCGGGGGUGAAAGCCCGAGGCUCAACCUCGGAACUGCCUUCGAUACUGCGGGUCUCGAGUCCGGGAGAGGUGAGUGGAAUUCCUAGUGUAGAGGUGAAAUUCGUAGAUAUUAGGAAGAACACCAGUGGCGAAGGCGGCUCACUGGCCCGGUACUGACGCUGAUGAGCGAAAGCUAGGGGAGCAAACGGG